UACGUAGGGUGCAAGCGUUAAUCGGAAUUACUGGGCGUAAAGCGUGCGCAGGCGGUGAUGUAAGACAGUUGUGAAAUCCCCGGGCUCAACCUGGGAACUGCAUCUGUGACUGCAUCGCUGGAGUACGGUAGAGGGGGAUGGAAUUCCGCGUGGUAGCAGUGAAAUGCGUAGAUAUGCGGAGGAACACCGAUGGCGAAGGCAAUCCCCUGGACCUGUACUGACGCUCAUGCACGAAAGCGUGGGG
rnacentral:rRNA from 1 species